AGAAGUUAGAGAAAGAGAAAGUGCUAGAGAUGGAGGGAAGGCCCUGACACUGUUUCUGAGUUCCAGAGAUACCCGCCUGAUUAGAGGGCUGGCAGUUGGCUCGUGGGUGUAUUCAUCUUACAUUGAAGUGAAGCCUUAUGUUGCAGAGGUGGCCUUGUGCAGCUGCUUCUCAAAGAUAAGGGAGGAACUGGAGCGCUUCUUGGAAAUGCCAGGCACUGAUCACCUGGGUCCCAUUAUGUAGCCCAGGGCUUUGAACUCUAGAUGACAUUCCUGCCUUUGCCUGCCCCGAUAUGGGAUGCCAGGUGUGCUGCUGGCUUUUCUGAGGAGACCCUUCUGAACUGUUACUGGAUUCCAGCUCGAAGGAUCAACUCAUUUAGAACCUGACAUUCCACAAAGAUUAACUGAUCCAUCCAGUUAGGUGAGUUGAGCUUCUGAUGAACAGCCUAGCCUCUUGUGUUCUGAUUUAGAGAUGACUACAGUGAGAAGGAAGACCCUCACCACACAGCUACACAGUGCCAACAGGCAGCAAGAAACAUACUAGUGAACACAUUCUAAGCUAUUAAAGUUAUAUAUUGUAAUAGAUACAACUUUAUUGACAUUCUGGAAUGGGUAGGUUGAUUCAUUUAAACACGCCAGUUAAUUACUAAGACUUUACCAUCAUAAACGGUAUUAAUCAAACCAGCUAAAUGUUUCAAGACCUGGUGAUUUGUCUAUGACUCACUGUUCUUGCAGGAGGCUAGUUGGAAGAAUGAAAGCAGUUUUGAGAGGCAAGGCUCUCAAAAGAGGAGAAAAGAUUGGCCCAGUACCAGGUACUAGAUACCAGGAAA